UUCUUUAAGAAAACUAAUUUAAAGUAAAACCUGCUCAAUGAAAUAUUAAAUAGCCGCAGUUUAACUGUGCAAAGGUAGCACAAUAACUUGCUUUCUAAUUAAAAGAUAGAAUGAAAGGUUAAACAUCUAAAAAAUGUAUCUAAAAAAAAAAUAAAAUUAACCAAGAUGUAAAAACGCCUCUAAAAAAAGCGGGACGACAAGACCCUAAUAAACUUACUAUAUUUAGUUGGGGAAACUUAAUAAAAAAACUUUAUAAAAACAACAACUAUCCUUACUAAAAAAUCAAAACAGUUACUAUAGGGAUAACAGCGCUAUUUCUUUUAAGAGACCUAAUCAAAAAAGAACCUUACGACCUCGAUGUUGAAUUAAUAUCCUACUAUUAACGCAAAAGUUUAAUUAAGGCAGUCUGUUCGACUAUUAAAAAAUU
rnacentral:rRNA from 1 species